UGGCGACCGGCGCACGGGUGAGUAACACGUAUCCAACCUGCCCUUUACUCGGGGAUAGCCUUUCGAAAGAAAGAUUAAUACCCGAUAGCAUAAUGAUUCCGCAUGGUUUCAUUAUUAAAGGAUUCCGGUAAAGGAUGGGGAUGCGUUCCAUUAGGUUGUUGGUGAGGUAACGGCUCACCAAGCCUUCGAUGGAUAGGGGUUCUGAGAGGAAGGUCCCCCACAUUGGAACUGAGACACGGUCCAA
rnacentral:rRNA from 1 species